CAGCCGCCGCGGGAAUAUGUAGGGGGCAAGCGUUGUCCGGAAUUAUUGGGCGUAAAGCGUGCGCAGGCGGUUAUGUAAGACAGUUGUGAAAUCCCCGGGCUCAACCUGGGAAACUGCAUCUGUGACUGCAUAGCUAGAGUACGGUAGAGGGGGAUGGAAUUCCGCGUGUAGCAGUGAAAUGCGUAGAUAUGCGGAGGAACACCGAUGGCGAAGGCAAUCCCCUGGACCUGUACUGACGCUCAUGCACGAAAGCGUGGGGAGCAAACAGGAUUAGAUACCCGCGUAGUCCCUGUCUCUUAUA
rnacentral:rRNA from 1 species